rnacentral:rRNA from 1 species
UACGGAGGGUGCAAGCGUUAAUCGGAAUUACUGGGCGUAAAGCGCACGCAGGUGGCUGAGAAUGUCGAUUGUGAAAGCCCUGGGCUUAACCUGGGAAUUGCAGUCGAAACUACUCGGCUAGAGUAUGGGAGAGGGUAGUGGAAUUCCCGGUGUAGCGGUGAAAUGCGUAGAUAUCGGGAGGAACAUCAGUGGCGAAGGCGGCUACCUGGCCCAAUACUGACACUCAGGUGCGACAGCGUGGGGAGCAAACAGG